UAGUCCACGCCGUAAACGAUGUCAACUAGCUGUUGGAAAACUAUGUUUUUCAGUGGCGCAGCUAACGUAGUAAGUUGACCGCCUGGGGAGUACGGCCGCAAGGCUAAAACUCAAAUGAAUUGACGGGGGCCCGCACAAGCGGUGGAGCAUGUGGUUUAAUUCGAAGCAACGCGAAGAACCUUACCUACACUUGACAUCCAGAGAACUUUCUAGAGAUAGAUUGGUGCCUUCGGGAACUCUGAGACAGGUGCUGCAUGGCUGUCGUCAGCUCGUGUUGUGAAAUGUUGGGUUAAGUCCCGUAACGAGCGCAACCCUUGUCCUUAUUUGCCAGCGAGUAAUGUCGGGAACUCUAAGGAGACUGCCGGUGACAAACCGGGAGGAAGGUGGGGACGACGUCAAGUCAUCAUGGCCCUUACGUGUAGGGCUACACACGUGCUACAAUGGCAAGUACAGAGGGCUGCGAACCAGCGAUGGUAAGCUAAUCCCAGAAACUUGUCGUAGUCCGGAUUGGAGU
rnacentral:rRNA from 1 species